rnacentral:sRNA from 1 species
UCUCUCAGACUGUAGAGCGUGUUUCCAGUGGCUGCAGGCCACAGCUCACCCGCACACAUCCUGGCCAAGCGCGGGAUGAUGGCUGGUGGGGCCACUGUGUGACAUCCCUUUGGACCCACGCAAGCCUCCUUUCUUCUCCAAUCUGGUCGAGCAUCAGGAGAGACUUCCCCACUCCGGGGCAGGUGUCUUUCUCCUCCAGCAGGGAUACUGCACAUUUGUCUUUUCCAGGUGUUUGUCAUAAUGCUGUCAGAACCUCCAAACCAGGAAGACAGGAAAAGAAAUGUGAACAUGUAAGACAUUCAGGGGAGCUGAGGAAAUUUUCCUGACGUGCUCCUGCUGUGACACCGCCACAGUUGAAGAAGGCCUGUCAUUGGGCUGUCAACCUUUAACCUCCCCACAGACGUAUUUUGAAAUGAUGUGUAAAGAAUUGCUGUGCCAUACCACUGGCUCCUUUCAGCUCGGCGUGUCUGUCCUUGAUGUCAGUCAAAAGUAGUUAACUGGCACCCAUGGAGCCUUAAAAACCCCUCAACCAAGUAUGGGUAAUGACUUUAGUUAAGAAGACUUGCUCUUGUCAAGUAAUGACUUUUUGACAUAAGGUAUUGUUUACCCAGGCAACGUUCUUUACUUGCAUUUUAAUGAGCCUAAUUAAUAAUAAGUUAGGAGUCCGCAGCUAUUUCUUCACAGCUGGACCAUAUGCACUAAUCUACUUAGUGGGGAGAAGUACUCUAAGAACGGAGAAAACCCCCCAUUAUCCCCCACGUUUCUUCUCUGACUCCACCACGGGAUCUACUGUGAUGCGGGGGCAGUUUGCAGAUCGUUAUGGUGGGCAUCGCUUUCGAAAUGGUAGCUUGCUUCGUGGAUUGUCAAGUUUUCACUUGCAAAAGUUUCAGGAAUUUUCCAGAGAAAAUGACACAGAGAGGUGUUUGAUGCAUCCUGUGGGUACAGAACCAGAAUGGUUCUUGGUUGAAGGAUGAACACAAGGGGUCGUGAGACGUGGUCUCAUAAUGGAACUAUAUCACUUACAACAAAUAAAUACCCUCCAAAGGGCCAUUCGGGAGCGUAUGGAAGCCUUGUGUGUGUCUUAGAGAGUGUGGUUUUAUUGGUCCCCCUCACGAUUACAGUCUUAUGAGCAUCCGGGUGUCCUCAGAAUUAUUUAGAAAUCCAGGUAAGAAUUUGGAACCUGGGCAGAAGAACUUCAAAGGAAACAGACUAUCCAUGGUUGGGCGGAAUCUGACACUAAGAGAACUUUUGCCCCUCACCCCCAAGCAUGCCAAAGCACAGGGAAAGGGCAAGGAGCCUGAUGCCCUAGACUGUUGGUGUGAUGGGCAGCAUGGCACGGAGCUCCUGAACUUUCCUCUGAUUGGGAGACUCUGGGAACGCAGAGUCACCUGGGAAGAGGGACCCUCAGUUGAUGACUGCCUCCAUCAGAUUGGCCUGUGGCACUGUCUGACAGACUGGCUUGCUGGAUGACUGAGGGAGCUUCUGGCCUUGCAGAUUUCACCAAAGAGGAGGCCACUGACAUUGCAAAUGGAGUGCAGUUUUAUUCACCAAGGAGUCUUCACAAAGCCAACUCCUGAACACCUCAUUUCAACCCUUUCUGCAGACAUUGUGCUGGGACACCUGAAGCUAUGUGGUGUGUUUGUUUUCCAACAGAGAUUUUCUUUUUCCUUCUGAAAAAUCUACUGAGUUCUGCCAGAAGAAACUCAUGACAUGUUGAGCACAGGAACGAAUGGUAGCAGAAUUACAACUUCAACCAAGGUCCUGUUUUGAGACUGUUGACAUCAUUAAAACCAAGGGAUGAGGAAGAGCCAUUGGAUCCAAGUAGACGUAUCUAUCCCUAAGAAUAAAUGGAUAAAUUAUACAUAUAUGUGCAUAUUAUAAAUGACUAUGUGCAUAACAGACUUCUACAUGGCAAAAACACUCAUUUAUUUAAAAAAGGUCAGUUACUCCAAACCGGACACUGCUGCUGUGGUCAAGAGGCGCUUGCUAACAGGAAGCUAGUGUGGCAGUUCCUG